GACAGAGGGUGCAAACGUUGUUCGGAAUUACUGGGCGUAAAGCGCGUGUAGGCGGCUGAGCAAGUCGGAUGUGAAAGCCCUGGGCUUAACCUAGGAAGUGCAUUCGAAACUGCUUGGCUUGAGUUCUGGAGAGGAAGGCGGAAUUCUCGGUGUAGAGGUGAAAUUCGUAGAUAUCGAGAGGAACACCGGUGGCGAAGGCGGCCUUCUGGACAGUGACUGACGCUGAGACGCGAAAGCGUGGGGAGCAAACAGG
rnacentral:rRNA from 1 species